rnacentral:rRNA from 1 species
GACGAACGCUGGCGGCGUGCCUAAUACAUGCAAGUAGAACGCUGAAGGAAGGAGCUUGCUCUUUCUGGAUGAGUUGCGAACGGGUGAGUAACGCGUAGGUAACCUGCCUGGUAGCGGGGGAUAACUAUUGGAAACGAUAGCUAAUACCGCAUAAAAUUGAUUAUUGCAUGAUAGUCAAUUAAAAGGUGCAACUGCACCACUACCAGAUGGACCUGCGUUGUAUUAGCUAGUUGGUGGGGUAACGGCUCACCAAGGCGACGAUACAUAGCCGACCUGAGAGGGGGAUCGGCCACACUGGGACUGAGACACGGCCCAGACUCCUACGGGAGGCAGCAGUAGGGAAUCUUCGGCAAUGGACGGAAGGCUGACCGAGCAACGCCGCGUGAGUGAAGAAGGUUUUCGGAUCGUAAAGCUCUGUUGUAAGAGAAGAACGAGUGUGAGAGUGGAAAGUUCACACUGUGACGGUAUCUGACCAGAAAGGGACGGCUAACUACGUG